GCCCCGUUCGUCUAGCGGCCUAGGAUACUACCCUUUCAAGGUAGAGACACGGGUUCGAGUCCCGUACGGGGUA
rnacentral:tRNA from 1 species